GCCCUAUGUUUAACAAUAUAGGGUGAAACCUGCUCAAUGGCUACCAAUAAAUAAUAACAUUAGUUAAAUAGCCGCGGUAACUCUGACCGUGAUAAAGUAGCAUAAUCACUCGUCAUUUAAUUGGUGACUAGAAUGAACGGUUACACGAAUCUUCAACUGUCUCAACAAUUAAUAAUAUGAAGUUAAAAUAAUAGUGAAGAUGCUAUUUACUAAUUGCAAGACGAAAAGACCCUAUCGAGCUUUACUAAAAGCUUAGAAUUUUUUAAUAAAACAUAAAAGUAUCCCAAAAAAUCUCUAAGUUCGUUAGUUUGGUUGGGGCGACCACCUCUAAAAACGUAUCAGAGGUAAUCUAAUGGUUAUUUUCAAAUACUCAAAAGCCUGACUGAAUAUACACCAAUUAACCAGAUACUAAAAGUAGGAUAUAGUGACCCGUUGAGAUUUUUAUCAACCUCAACGUCCAUGAAAAAAGUUACCGUAGGGAUAACAGGGUAAUAUUUCUGAAGAGUUCUUAUCGAUAGAAAUGUUUGCCACCUCGAUGUUGAAUUAUGAUACCCUAAAGGUGCAGCAGCUUUAAAGGGUUG
rnacentral:rRNA from 1 species